rnacentral:rRNA from 1 species
GACGAACGCUGGCGGCGUGCCUAAUACAUGCAAGUCGAGCGAGCGGCGGACGGGUGAGUAAUGUAUGGGGACUGCCCGAUAGAGGGGGAUAACUACUGGAAACGGUGGCUAAUACCGCAUACUAUCGGAUAACCCCAAUGGGAUUAGCUAGUAGGUGGGGUAAAGGAUCACCUAGGCGACGAUCUCUAGCUGGUCUGAGAGGAUGAUUAGCAACACUGGGACGGAGACACGGCCCAGACUCCUACGGAGGCAGCAGUGGGGAAGAUUGCACAAUGGGCGCAAGCCUGAUACAGCCAGGCCGCGUGUAUGAAGAAGGCCUUAGGGUUGUAAAGUACUUUCAGCGGGGAGGCGUUACCCGCAGAAGAAGCACCGGCUAACUCCGUGCCAGCCGCCGCGGUAAUAC